AACCUUGUUAUUUGAUAGCCAUGUGUUUCAGAGCUGAGGUAGGAGGAGCUGUUUAAACUCCUUUUUUGCCGAGAGAUGGAAUGUUAGAACUGAAAGGUUCUGUGACAGUUGGGGAUGACAGUUGUGGGAAGAAUCAGCUAACUGGAGGCAAAAGUGCCCAGGCCAGAGAGUUCUCGGAGCUGCUUCAGAAUGGCAUCCAAUGCUUUCUUUCUCUGGAUGUGGAUAGCAUUAUUUUUCAUAACUCCCUCAGAAUUGUCCUGGAUCAUUGCAUUGCUGCUAGUAGAGAAGUCCAUUACAUUUGAUUGUACCACAGUGUAUCAGUCUCUGUGUACAAUGUUCUCUUGGUUCUGCUCCUCUCACUUUGCAUCAAUUCCUGGAGGUUGUUCCAGUUCACAUGGAAUUCCUCCAGUUCAUUAUUCCUUUCAGCACAAUAACAUUCCAUCACCAGCAGAUACCACAAUUUGUUCAGCCAUUCCCCAAUCAACGGACACCCCCUCAUUUUCCAAUUUUUUGUCACCACAAAGAACACAGCUAUAA
rnacentral:lncRNA from 1 species